GAUGAACGCUGGCGGCGUGCCUAAUACAUGCAAGUCGAGCGAACAGAUGAGGAGCUUGCUCCUCUGACGUUAGCGGCGGACGGGUGAGUAACACGUGGAUAACCUACCUAUAAGACUGGGAUAACUUCGGGAAACCGGAGCUAAUACCGGAUAAUAUAUUGAACCGCAUGGUUCAAUAGUGAAAGACGGUUUUGCUGUCACUUAUAGAUGGAUCCGCGCCGCAUUAGCUAGUUGGUAAGGUAACGGCUUACCAAGGCGACGAUGCGUAGCCGACCUGAGAGGGUGAUCGGCCACACUGGAACUGAGACACGGUCCAGACUCCUACGGGAGGCAGCAGUAGGGAAUCUUCCGCAAUGGGCGAAAGCCUGACGGAGCAACGCCGCGUGAGUGAUGAAGGUCUUCGGAUCGUAAAACUCUGUUAUUAGGGAAGAACAAAUGUGUAAGUAACUAUGCACGUCUUGACGGUACCUAAUCAGAAAGCCACGGCUAACUACGAG
rnacentral:rRNA from 1 species